rnacentral:rRNA from 1 species
UGGGGAAUAUUGCACAAUGGGCGAAAGCCUGAUGCAGCAACGCCGCGUGAGUGAUGAAGGCCUUCGGGUUGUAAAGCUCUGUCUUUUGGGACGAUAAUGACGGUACCAAAGGAGGAAGCCACGGCUAACUACGUGCCAGCAGCCGCGGUAAUACGUAGGUGGCAAGCGUUGUCCGGAUUUUACUGGGCGUAAAGGAUGCGUAGGCGGAUUUUUAAGUGAGAUGUGAAAACCCUAAGCUUAACUUGGGGACUGCAUUUCAUACUGGAAAUCUAGAGUGCGGGAGAGGAGAAUGGAAUUCCUAGUGUAGCGGUGAAAUGCGUAGAGAUUAGGAAGAACACCAGUGGCGAAGGCGAUUCUCUGGACCGUAACUGACGCUGAGGCAUGAAAGCGUGGGUAGCAAACAGGAUUAGAUACCCUGGUAGUCCACGCCGUAAACGAUGAGUACUAGGUGUAGGAGGUAUCGACCCCUUCUGUGCCGCAGUUAACACAAUAAGUACUCCGCCUGGGAAGUACGAUCGCAAGAUUAAAACUCAAAUGAAUUGACGGGGUCAUAGCUG